UNUGACUUGAGUGCAGAAGGGGAGAGUGGAAUUCCAUGUGUAGCGGUGAAAUGCGUAGAUAUAUGGAGGAACACCAGUGGCGAAAGCGGCUCUCUGNUCUGUCACUGACGCUGAGGCUCGAAAGCGUGGGUAGCGAACAGGAUUAGAUACCCUGGUAGUNCACGCCGUAAACGAUGAGUGCUAGGUGUUAGGCCCUUUCCGGGGCUUAGUGCCGGAGCUAACGCAAUAANCACUCCGCCUGGGGAGUACGACCGCAAGGUUGAAACUCAAAGGAAUUGACGGGGGCCCGCACAAGCGGUGGAGCAUGUGGUUUAAUUCGAAGCAACGCGAAGAACCUUACCAGGUCUUGACAUCCCGAUGCUAUUCUUAGAGAUAGGAAGUUACUUCGGUACAUCGGAGACAGGUGGUGCAUGGUUGUCGUCAGCUCGUGUCGUGAGAUGUUGGGUUAAGUCCCGCAACGAGCGCAACCCUUAUUGUUAGUUGCCAUCAUUAAGUUGGGCACUCUAGCGAGACUGCCGGUAAUAAACCGGAGGAAGGUGGGGAUGACGUCAAAUCAUCAUGCCCCUUAUGACCUGGGCUACACACGUGCUACAAUGGUCGGUACAACGAGUUGCGAGCCGGUGACGGCAAGCUAAUCUCUGAAAGCCGAUCUCAGUUCGGAUUGGAGGCUGCAACUCGCCUCCAUGAAGUCGGAAUCGCUAGUAAUCGCGGAUCAGCACGCCGCGGUGAAUACGUUCCCGGGCCUUGUACACACCGCCCGUCACACCACGAGAGUUUGUAACACCCGAAGUCGGUGAGGUANCCUUUUAGGG
rnacentral:rRNA from 1 species